UACGAGGGGGGCAAGCGUUGUUCGGAAUCAUUGGGCGUAAAGGGUGCGUAGGCGGCUUUUUAAGUCUGACGUGAAAGCCCAGGGCUUAGCCUUGGAAGUGCGCCAGAAACUGGAAGGCUAGAGUGCCGGAGGGGAGAGUGGAAUUCCUGGUGUAGCGGUGAAAUGCGUAGAUAUCAGGAGGAAUACCGGUGGCGAAAGCGACUCUCUGGACGGUAACUGACGCUGAGGCACGAAAGCGUGGGGAGCAAACAGG
rnacentral:rRNA from 1 species